GACAGAGGCCUCGAGCGUUAGGCGGAAUCACUGGGCUUAAAGCGUGCGUAGUCGGUUAUCUAAGUCAGGUGUGAAAUCCCCGGGCUCAACCUGGGAAUUGCAUUUGAUACUGGAUAGCUAGAGUUCGGCAGAGGGAAGUGGAAUUUCUGGUGUAGCGGUGAAAUGCGUAGAUAUCAGAAGGAACAUCAGCGGCGAAAGCGACUUCCUGGACCAGAACUGACGAUCAGGCACGAAAGCGUGGGGAGCAAACAGG
rnacentral:rRNA from 1 species